rnacentral:rRNA from 1 species
UGGGGAAUAUUGGACAAUGGGCGAAAGCCUGAUCCAGCAAUACCGCGUGAAUGAUGAAGGCCUUAGGGUUGUAAAGUUCUUUUAGUUGGGAAGAUAAUGACGGUACCAACAGAAAAAGCCCCGGCUAACUCCGUGCCAGCAGCCGCGGUAAGACGGAGGGGGCUAGCGUUGUUCGGAAUUACUGGGCGUAAAGGGCGCGUAGGCGGAUUAGUAAGUUGGGAGUGAAAGCCCGGGGCUUAACCUCGGAACUGCUUUCAAAACUGCUAGUCUUGAGUGAAGUAGGGGAUGAUGGAAUUCCUAGUGUAGAGGUGAAAUUCUUAGAUAUUAGGAGGAACACCGGUGGCGAAGGCGGUCAUCUGGACUUCAACUGACGCUGAGGCGCGAAAGCGUGGGGAGCAAACAGG